GAUGAACGCUGGCGGCGUGCCUAAUACAUGCAAGUCGAGCGAACAGACGAGGAGCUUGCUCCUCUGACGUUAGCGGCGGACGGGUGAGUAACACGUGGAUAACCUACCUAUAAGACUGGGAUAACUUCGGGAAACCGGAGCUAAUACCGGAUAAUAUAUUGAACCGCAUGGUUCAAUAGUGAAAGACGGUUUUGCUGUCACUUAUAGAUGGAUCCGCGCCGCAUUAGCUAGUUGGUAAGGUAACGGCUUACCAAGGCAACGAUGCGUAGCCGACCUGAGAGGGUGAUCGGCCACACUGGAACUGAGACACGGUCCAGACUACUACGGGAGGCAGCAGUAGGGAAUCUGCCGCAAUGGGCGAAAGCAUGACGGAGCAACGCCGCGUGAGUGAUGAAGGUCUUCGGAUCGUAAAACUCUGUUAUUAGGGAAGAACAAAUGUGUAAGUAACUAUGCACGUCUUGACGGUACCUAAUCAGAAAGCCACGGCUAACUACGUG
rnacentral:rRNA from 1 species